UACGUAGGGACCGAGCGUUGUCCGGAUUCAUUGGGCGUAAAGAGCUCGUAGGCGGCCACUCAAGUCGAAUGUGAAACCUCGAGGCUUAACCUCGAGCCUGCAUUCGAUACUGGGCGGCUAGAGUCUGGUAGGGGGAUCUGGAAUUCCUGGUGUAGCGGCGGAAUGCGCAGAUAUCAGGAGGAACACCGGUGGCGAAGGCGGGAUCCUGGGCCAGUACUGACGCUGAGGAGCGAAAGCGUGGGGAGCAAACAGG
rnacentral:rRNA from 1 species